UACGGAGGGGGCUAGCGUUGUUCGGAAUUACUGGGCGUAAAGCGCACGUAGGCGGCUUUGUAAGUCAGAGGUGAAAUCCCAGUGCUCAACACUGGAACUGCCUUUGAGACUGCAUCGCUUGAAUCCAGGAGAGGUGAGUGGAAUUCCGAGUGUAGAGGUGAAAUUCGUAGAUAUUCGGAAGAACACCAGUGGCGAAGGCGGCUCACUGGACUGGUAUUGACGCUGAGGUGCGAAAGCGUGGGGAGCAAACAGG
rnacentral:rRNA from 1 species